rnacentral:rRNA from 1 species
UACGUAGGGCGCAAGCGUUGUCCGGAAUUAUUGGGCGUAAAGAGCUCGUAGGCGGUCUGUCGCGUCGAUCGUGAAACUUGGGGACUUAACCCUGACGCUUGCGGUCGAUACGGGCAUGGACUGGAGUCCGGGAGGGGCGAGUCGGAAUUCCGUGGUGUAGCGGUGAAAUGCGCAGAUAUCAGGAGGAACACCAAUGGCGAAGGCAGCUCGCUGGAACGGUACUGACGCUGAGGCGCGGAAAGCGUGGGGAGCAAACAGG